ACACAUGCAAGUCGAACGGUAACGAUGGUAGCUUGCUACCAGGCGACGAGUGGCGGACGGGUGAGUAACGCAUAGGAAUCUGCCUAGUAGUGGGGGACAACCUGGGGAAACCCAGGCUAAUACCGCAUACGCCCUUCGGGGGAAAGGCUUCGGCCGCUAUUAGAUGAGCCUAUGUCUGAUUAGCUUGUUGGUGGGGUAAUGGCCUACCAAGGCGACGAUCAGUAGCUGGUCUGAGAGGACGAUCAGCCACACUGGGACUGAGACACGGCCCAGACUCCUACGGGAGGCAGCAGUGGGGAAUAUUGGACAAUGGGCGAAAGCCUGAUCCAGCAAUGCCGCGUGUGUGAAGAAGGCCUGCGGGUUGUAAAGCACUUUCAGAUGGGAAGAUAAUGACGGUACCAUCAGAAGAAGCACCGGCUAACUCUGUGCCAGCAGCCGCGGUAAUACAGAGGGUGCAAGCGUUAAUCGGAAUUACUGGGCGUAAAGCGUACGUAGGCGGAUUGGAAAGUAGGGGGUGAAAUCCCAGGGCUCAACCCUGGAACUGCCUCCUAAACUAUCAGUCUAGAGUUCGAGAGAGGUGAGUGGAAUUCCAAGUGUAGAGGUGAAAUUCAUAGAUAUUUGGAGGAACACCAGUGGCGAAGCGGCUCACUGGCUCGAUACUGACGCUGAGGUACGAAAGUGUGGGGAGCAAACAGGAUUAGAUACCCUGGUAGUCCACACCGUAAACGAUGAAUGCCAGACGUCGGGGGGGCUUGCCCUUCGGUGUCACACCUAACGGAUACACAUGCAAGCCUG
rnacentral:rRNA from 1 species